rnacentral:rRNA from 1 species
CCUACGGGUGGCAGCAGUGAGGAAUAUUGGUCAAUGGGCGCUAGCCUGAACCAGCAAAGUAGCGUGAAGGAUGACUGCCCUAUGGGUUGUACACUUCUUUUAUAUGGGAAUAAAGUGCAGUAUGUAUACUGCUUUGCAUGUACCUUAUGAAUAAGGAUCAGCUAACUCCGUGCCAGCAGCCGCGGUAAUUCGGAGGAUCCGAGCGUUAUCCGGAUUUAGUGGGUUUAAAGGGAGCGUAGGCGGGUUGGUAAGUCAGUUGUGAAAGUUUGCGGCUCAACCGUAAAAUUGCAGUUGAUACUGGCAUUCUUGAGUACAGUAGAGGUAGGCGGAAUUCGUGGUGUAGCGGUGAAAUGCUUAGAUAUCACGAAGAACUCCGAUUGCGAAGGCAGCCUGCUGGACUGUAACUGACGCUGAUGCGCGAAAGUGUGGGUAUCAAACAGGAUUAGAUACCCCUGUAGUC